rnacentral:rRNA from 1 species
CGUCUAUAUACGUAUAGCAUAUCAAUAAGCGGAGGAAAAGAAACUAACAAGGAUUCCCUUAGUAACGGCGAGUGAAGCGGGAAGAGCUCAAAUUUGAAAUCUUCAAGGUUCUACCUUGACGAAUUGUAGUUUAUAGAAGUGUUUUCUGUUAGUGGAGUGGCAAAAGUUCUUUGGAAUAGGACAUCAUAGAGGGUGAGAAUCCCGUAUUUGGUCAUUCCUUCUAGCAUUUGUGAUACACUUUCAAAGAGUCGGAUUGUUUGGGAAUGCAGUCCAAAAUGGGUGGUAAAUUUCAUCUAAAGCUAAAUACUGGCGAGAGACCGAUAGCGAACAAGUACCGUGAGGGAAAGAUGAAAAGAACUUUGAAAAGAGAGUUAAACAGUACGUGAAAUUGUCAAAAGGGAAGCGUUUGACACCAGUGUUGUUUUUCUCGAAAAUCAAUUACAAAUGGCCGUGAUUUUGUAUUGUAUUGACCUUAUCAGCUUUCUGCACUUUCUUCUAGUCUUUCUUAAUGCACUUUUCGUUUAACAAGUCAACAUCAAUUUCUUUUGUUGUAAAAGGGUAUGAGGAAGGUGGCUUUCUUUUCGGAGAAAGUGUUUAUAGCCCUUAUGCCUCUACAAUCGGAGAGAUUGAGGUCUGCAGCGUAGAUCCUUCGGGGUUAGAUACAUUUGUGCUAAGUUAGUAGCUUUUAUAGACAACUUGUUGACUAUAGUUUAGUCAUUGUAGGCUUACUCGCUUAGUGCUAUUUUACCUACGCUUAGGAUGUUGACUGAUAUGUAGUCGUA